AAAGUAGACCGAGCCUCUCUCCUCCCACCUUUUAGUGCAGCUAGCCGGAGUACAGGACGUAUCCCUGCUCAAACCCACGGAAAGGGAGGCAGACGGAGGAGUCAGACACGCUGAAAGCAGGACGGCUAUUUUUCGCUUACUCCAAACCAGCCCAGUAGCUCGCUGUUUUUUCUUUUGUUCUCGUUGUAAAACUUCGGCUUUGUCAGCAGUUUGUCCCCGUUUGGGCUCAACUUUUUACCGAGCGGACAGAAAACAAAUGAACGUUCCCUCAGAAACACAGGAGCAUUCUGAACCAGUGGGAUGUUAGCUGUGGCUGAGACAGCAGGAGUGCCUGAAGGAGCAUGGUGAAACACCAACCCCUCCAAGUCUAUGAGCGCCAGCUGUGCUUGUCAUGCAUCACUGGGAUCUAUGGGUGCAGGUGGAAACGUUAUCAGAGGUCACAUGAUGACACCACCAAGUGGGAGCUUCUGUGGUCUCUCAUCCUCCUCCUCACCUUCUUCCUGCUGUUCGUCUGGUCCUACUUCUGGUGGGAGGCGGACAAUGACUACAACGAGUUCAACUGGUUUCUGUACAACCGCUCUGGGGAGUGGACUGAUGGAACUGUUCCCAUCCUAGCCACAACUGCCGCCGGCUUCACCUACGUUUCGUUUUUAAUGGUUUUAGCACUUUGCCAUGUUGCACUUGGGCAACAGUUGAAUUUGCACUGGCUUCAUAAGAUAGGAGUAACUGCAGCUUUGCUUACCACCAUUAUUGGGAUCGUAUCAGUCAAUCAAACAUGGGGACAAGAGUGGGAUGUCGUCCCCAUCUCGCUGCAGGCUACGGGUCCCUUCCUGCACAUAGGGGCCCUGGCUGCAGCCACAGCUCUGUCAUGGAUUGUCGCUGGACAAGUCGCUAGAGCAGAAAAAACAAUCUUUCAGGUGGUGGUUGUGCUGCUGUACCUCAGUAUGUUACUAGGACUCUAUUUUCUGCCAAUUUACAUCACCUCCCCGUGCAUUAUGGACCCCAGCUCACUUAAACCGCGGCCGGAGGUUUUCGGGCAUCAAGGAGACCCCAUGCUGGCUCCAGAGAACACGCUGCUGUCCUUCCAGCGAGCACUGCAAAUGAACGUCACUGGACUGGAGGCUGAUGUAACCAUAAGUAUGGACGGCGUACCCUUCCUUAUGCGUGACCUUACCCUGCGGAGAACCACAGAUGUGGAAAAGGUUUUCCCUGACAGGGAGAGAGAUAAAGCUUCACAGUUUAACUGGACAGAUCUGCAGCAGCUCAAUGCAGGGCAGUGGUUCCUCAAGUAUGAUCCCUUCUGGACUGUAAACAAAAUGUCGCUACGGGAGAAGAAUCUAACCGCCAAGCAGAGCGUGUGCAGCCUGGAGCAGCUCCUACGGCUGGCCUCCUUUCACAACAGUACAGUUGUUUUCAGGUUGCGAAGGCCUCCUCCGGAGCAUCCCUGCUACACCACAUGGAUCAAUGAUACGCUGCAAGUAGUGCAGCAAUCUGGAGUUCCUCAAAGCCUGGUGAUGUGGACACCUGAUGAUGAAAGAGCUCAGGUGAAAAGCUUUGCUCCUGGUUUCAUCCAAACGUCGUUGGUUAAACGUACACCUAAAGAUCUGCAAAGUUCCGGCAUCAGCAGGCUGCUGCUUAGAUACAACCAAGUCAACACCAAUGACAUCACAGAUUACUCCAGAAACAACAUCAGCCUUACUCUGUACACUGUCAACGAGCCGUGGCUCUACUCAGUGCUGUGGUGCAGCGGGGUGGCAUCGGUCUCCUCAGAGGCCCCACAUAUCCUCAAAAAGGUGCCUUAUCCCAUCUGGCUAUUGAGGCCAAAUGAAUACUGCCUGAUGUGGGUGUCUGCAGACCUAAUUUCCUUCGCUGUCGUCAUCGGAAUAUUUAUUUUGCAAAACUAUCACACGAUCAGGUAUCGAAUGAGUGGCAUGCGCAGCUACAAUCCUGAGCAGAUCAUGCUGAGCGCAGCGGUCAGGACGUCCAGCCGAGACAUCAACGUCAUGAAGGAGAAACUCAUCUUCUCAGUUCAACCCCAGUAAUGGGUCCCCCUCCAGCAUCCUUUGUGUGACGUGUCGCCUGACCAUCCUACCUCAUCCGUUCUCUUCGCAGGCAGUGACUGUCUCUUUUCCACCCAUACAUUUUCCAUUGCUUUUUAAACCUGUCCGCCCACUUUGCCUGCUGUUUCCCUUUAAUCCAUGCCUCCAUCCUUCCAUGUCUGUUCGCCUCCCCAAACCUCCUACUGCAACAUAGUGUAGGAGAUGUUUUUGUCUAGAGAAGCUCUAGUCCCGGGGAACAAAAAGGUGAGGAACGGUGGCAGCGCUGAGGAGCUAUUUGAGGAGCAUGGCUUCGACUCCUACACUAAUCAGAGCAUCAGCCAGUGACUCUCAGCCUGGUUCUCUAGCGUGAUGAGAAGUCUCUCCUCUGGCCUACUGAUGAACUGUUGUAUUAAAAAAAAAAAAAAACAUCCAGUUGCUCUGUGUACACUGUAAAUAAUGUUUCUGUUUCUUCUCACGGACUACAGGUUUAUCAAGCUCCUAAUUUCAAAAUGAAUUGUCUAAUCUGAUGAUUUCUCCUUUAGCAUCUAAACAUUCAGGGCCCCCUUAUCUGCUUCUUUACUUAAAGCUAAAUUUCCAAAGUGGCGGAUUAUUAUUAUUAUUAUUUGAAGCUCAGUGAAAGUUUUUGCAGCAUGAUGCUCCUGCCUGUAGUUCAAGAAACGAAUAUUUAUAUUUAAAGAUAUAAACCUGAAACUGUUUACAGAUGUCUUGCCUUCUCCUCCAGAUGGAUUAUUCUCACGGUGCAUGUAAAGUAUUUUGCUACCUAUCUGCCUGUCGUACUUAUGAUCACUUGAUCCAAAUGUAUGAAACUUCUGGACUUUAUGUGAGCUGUGCUCCCAGUUAAACCAGAAGAGCAGGUGAAAAUGGUUAUAGGAUUUAGAUUCACUGUUUUUGUUGUUUAUUUUGAUUGUUUCCUUUUGUAACUUCUUCAGUAUCAUAAGGAUUGUGCGUAUUUUUAUUUUUGGAGGGGGGUUGUUUUUUUGUUUUGUUUUUUACCUUGUGUGCAGUGUUGUGAUGAAUGUGUAAUCAAAAGUAAUUUAUCAACAAAGUGACACUUUAGUGAUUACAGGAUGAAUAGGCAGGCCUAUAGAUUUGCUCUCAUUCUGUUGUAUUUUCAUGUUGGGGAAAGAUAGUGCAUGUAACUGUCGGUGUAAAUACUGUUGAACUCGGGGGAACAUGGCCGGGAAUGUAAAGUGAAGCUCGUUGACGGGAUGCUGCAGGUUAAAAGGGGCAGAACAUACCAGGAAACUGGUCGCCUUUUGUUUUUAUUUUAUUACAUUGUGUAUUAGUGUGCCUGAGAAUUAAAGUUGCAUUAUUCA